rnacentral:misc_RNA from 1 species
UACAAUAAAUAUCUUAUACGUGCAUAGAAACCCGCGUAUAUCCUUGAAUACGUAAAAAUCCUCGAUUCAAUAAUUGACAUAUCGGUUUUAUUUCUAAAAUAUCCGUAGCUUCCCUAGAACGCAGAAAGUAACAUCUCUCCCAUCUGAAUCCAAGGAUUUAUCCUAAACACCUUUGUCUGGGGCUGGAAGAAGUAGCAGCCGGGUCUAUACUACUCCAUCUUCAACAUCCAGACUAAUUGUCGUCUUAGCAUUAUCCGGAAGAUCCUCGACUGGUACAUGUCCAAAAAAUCUUUUCAGUGCACUGUCUCGAGCAGCCACUCCGCUUUUUUCUCUUCCCUGAGAAGGCAGCUUCGGCACCGACAGCACCGUAGCAGCGCCGGUAGCAGUAACAUAGAGAGACGACGUCGGCGUCGGCGUCGGGCGGCAUCUCUCGAGGAAGGGCAUUGUUUUAUUCCGACCGCGUAGCAGACACUCCUCACACCCCCGCGCCCAUGCUUUCCUACCCCUGACUGCCACUCUCGACAAUUUACCCCCGUCUCGACCCCCUCUUCGCUUUUCCACUCUCUCCUCCAAUUCCAUCGCCUACCUCCCCCGCCUUGGCCACCCUUCCGAUAACGCCAUGGCUUAAUGACGCCGUGCUCGCCUCAAUAUCGCAUUGCGUAUACCCCAGAACCUAACCGAACUUCUCUCUCUCUCAUUGCUCCCGAUGCGUUUUCUUUUCCUCCUUUCCUCGCUGGCUUUCUGUCCCUUGUUCUACUUCUC